rnacentral:sRNA from 1 species
UUAGGUUCGGAACAAGUAACAACAACGCGCGGCGGAUGUUGUGCGUCCACUGACUGAGUGUGUGAAAUACAAUAAAAUACCGUGAAAAACAACAAGAAGAGAAGAAAGAAAAAACAAAUUGGAACAUUGGAAAUAAAGUUGUUGAUUUUCCGUGACGUGUAAAUGUAAAAUGAAAAAGAAAAUUGUUACAAAGAAAACAAAUUAAACGAUUUUAAUAAGAUAAAUAUAACGGAAAUGGCAAAUUAGAAAAAAAUAAACAAGUUUCAAUGAAAUUGUGGAAGAAUUUUUCGCUGUGGCAGGGGCAGUGCUGCUGCUAAUUGUAGUGAGUGGGGGAGAAGGAGAAAAAAGUAAAAAGAUAAUCUCUCAUUUUUUCGGUACAAUAGUUUUUGGUGUCCAACGUGAAUGUAAACCUGUGUGUGUGUCGGUGUGCGUGCGUCGUGUUGAUUUAUUUCUCUGCUGCAUCUUCGUUUUUUUGCAAAUUAAGCGUGCCAAAGAAGCAACAAAAGUGUGUUUUUUGUCAAUUCCAGCAGCAGCAACAACAACAACAUGAUAGUGACAUGAAAUCGUGAAUUACUUUGCUUUGACAAUUGCAAACAAAUUCUUGCACAAUUUUACAUUGUUGCCGGGGUGGAAGAAUUAAUCCCCAGAAAUUUGUUUGUUGUACUUUGAUGUGUCGUCUAAUGCUAUUAACCGUUAGUUAGUUAGUUGGUAUGCUCGCGCUCUUCUCGGUUACCUGUACAACAACAAUAACAACAACAUAUCAUCGUAUUCUCUCCUCUUCUUGAGGUAUACAACAUCAAUGAAUGAGUGAGUGGUUGUUGUUAUUGUUCUAGUAAAGUGAAUAUUGUGUUGUUGGGGCACAAAAACAAUUGUGAUGGUGGUACGGCGGCGGUGGUGGUUGUUGCUUGUCGUGUGAGUAUUAAUCCAUUGGAACUUUAAAAAACAAACAAAACAAAAAAACUCACAAAAAGCACUCUUUGAAAAUCCCACCAUUUUUUGUUGUUUAUUUCAUUAUUAUUCUGUGUGUGUUUGCAUCUGUGUGUGUUUGAAUGACAACGACGACGGUCAUCAUCAUCGGCUAUCAACAAUAAAAUACCCGGUCUCUAAUUCUAAUCAAUACAAUUGUGUGUUGAUUUGUUGUUCUCUAUUCUCGUGUCGUGUUGAGUCUCUCUCUCCCAAACUCUCGCACACUCAUCGAUUACAUUCCUCGUCGUAUUUGCCGGUCGGUUAUCUAUGAGAGACAGACUGUUGCACACA